rnacentral:tRNA from 1 species
CGGGGCAUGGCGCAGUUGGUAGCGCGCUCGGCUGGGGGUCGAGAGGUCGCAGGUUCGAACCCUGUUGCCCCGA